AAGUCGUAACAAGGUUUCCGUAGGUGAACCUGCGGAAGGAUCAUUAACACGUAUCCAAACGUUAAAACAACCCUGUGAAUAUUGAAUCUCAGUUCCCCUAACAAGGUUUUGAGUUAGAGGAUGGCGCACGAGUAGCACCUGUAUUGGGUCGAGCGUUUCCAAGAUCCACCCCUGGUGCCCCCAAGCAACCAUCAAUCUGAAAGUGUUUGGUGAAUUGUGCAAGGGCAGCGCAGUCAACGAUCGGUGGUCCACACGGCCAUCGACCGGGGGUCGUUACUCCCACGUGGGGCCUUAGUUCAUUCAGGUUGAACAUGAUGCAUGUCUACCGCGCCCGACGAAAGUCCGACGCACCCCUAACCGAACAACUGUUAACAAUGGAUAUCUUGGUUCUC
rnacentral:misc_RNA from 1 species